rnacentral:rRNA from 1 species
GGAGGAAAGUAGGGGAUCGCAAGACCUUGCGCUUUUGGAGCGGCCGAUGUCUGAUUAGCUAGUUGGUGAGGUAAAGGCUUACCAAGGCGUCGAUCAGUAGCUGGUCUGAGAGGACGACCAGCCACACUGGGACUGAGACACGGCCCAGACUCCUACGGGAGGCAGCAGUGGGGAAUUUUGGACAAUGGGGGAAACCCUGAUCCAGCCAUGCCGCGUGAGUGAAGAAGGCCUUCGGGUUGUAAAGCUCUUUCAGCCGGAACGAAACGGUCACGGCUAAUACCUGUGACCACUGACGGUACCGGAAGAAGAAGCACCGGCUAACUACGUGCCAGCAGCCGCGGUAAUACGUAGGGUGCAAGCGUUAAUCGGAAUUACUGGGCGUAAAGCGUGCGCAGGCGGUUUUGUAAGCCAGAUGUGAAAUCCCCGGGCUUAACCUGGGAACUGCGUUUGAAACUACAAAGCUAG